UGAGCUCCUGCUCACCCCACGAUAUAUCCAGCUGCAGACCCGCAGCACUAGAAGUUUCAGAACCGCAGCCACAGAACUGGAAGUGAGGGGCGGAGUUAUUGACAACGAGAGAGCACGGUGAGUAUUCUGUAAUGUUUUUGCUAUGCAUAUGUUUGAUAAUUAUCGCAUAUAUUACGUUAAGCAUUUAUCUGCUAAGUACUUAAUGUGUGCUUGGCUUUAUUAUCUUAUAUUGAAACUUGAAUUUGUUGUCAUACUUUAUAGUAUAUAACUUUUUUCUGUGGCUGUUUCGAUUAAUUUUCAGAUGCAUGCUGUAAAUGGGCCUUGUGGUGAAGUUUUGAAGAUGUUUAUUAUUCAUAAAAAUAGUCUGCUUUAAUUCCCUCCGUUAUAUGCAUUGUUUGUGUUAAUAUUACCUUGUAGUUUAGUUAUUUUAAUCCAAUUUGUCAUCGAGAUAAUUGUGUGUAGCUUCAUCUCUUGUAGAGAUAAGGAUUCAGAGAGUUGACACAUUACCUGAGUAACACGUGUUACAGCAAUCACCAGCAGUGUUCUGCUUGACCAGCAUGUUUAAGCCAGCCAAACUGGUCAUCUUCAAAUCCACUUCAACAUGCAGUUGUCUGUGGAGUACAUCUUGUCUUGGGAGCACCCUUUGAUUUUACAUCUUGUGACAUUCCAAUCAUACGGCGAUGGUGGACUCCA